rnacentral:lncRNA from 1 species
GUAUAUUUUUCGUUGUGGGUCCUUCUAGUUGUGGCAUGUGGGACACUGCCUCAGCGUAGUUUGAUGAGCAGUGCCAUGUCCGCACCCAGGAUUCGAACCAACGAAACGCUGGGCCGCCUGCAGCGGAGCGUGAGAACUUAACCACUCGGCCACGGGGCCAGCCCCUACUUUAUUUUUUUUAAUUGCGGCAACAUUGGUUUAUAACAAGUGGGAAGUGUUUUGUUUUGCUUUUCUCUUCCUCCCUCGGUGUGGGGCCCUGCCCGUCUUCCUGUUCUGCACUCGCCUCCAAGCUCUCUGUAUUGGGGUGGGCCAGACACCUGUAACAAAUUGGACUGCGCAGAUCAUGUCUUAAACACAGGAUUUCAUUUCCAUCUCAUGCAACAGGCCAGGGUGUAUGUUCCCGGUCAGACAGAGGAGGAGGAGGGGAUGGUAAGGAAGAUCUGUUCCGUUCAGUCUCGCAGGGACCCAGGCUAGUGGGGCUCUGCCGUCUCCAGCACAUGGCUUCCAAGGUCUACCUGUCACCUUAAUGUGGCUGGCUGAAUAACGGCCCCCGAGAAUGUCCAUUCGGCAAUCGUCAGAACACGUGAAUAUUACCUUAUAUGGAAAAAGGGACUCUGGAGAUUCUCCUGGAUUAUCCGGUUGGGUCCUGAGUGUGAUCACAAGGUCCCCACAACAGGGAGGCAGUGAGAGAUUCCACCACAGAGAGGAGUAGAUGUGACAACACAAGCCUGUUAUUCUCAGUGACUCGAGCAAGAGGCCCCGAGGCACGGAAUGCAGACUUCCGGCCUCCAGAACUGUAAGUAUCUGCAUUUUUUCAGCCACAACCUUGGUUGUAAUUUGUCUCAGCAGCAACGGGCACGGAUCCAUCUUUGCCGUCAUCCCAACCUAUGAGACAUUCAACUUGUUUUUGAGCACGGCUAAACCUUUUCGCUUUCCAAAUUUGACGUUGUAUCUGUCAUGCUACUUGGCCAGCCAGUCUCUGCCACACACUCUCCUGACACGGUGUGUCAAAGGGGAGACGGGCGCCGCCUUUUGCCUUUUCGCCGGAUGUGACUCUGAAGCAGUCUGUUCUCCAUAGAGAGGCUGGAUGGAUCUGGGUGUCACAAAACGCUCACGCCACCCUCCCGCUGAAAGCCCCAGUGAGCUCUGGCUGUCCUCAUUUGUGAACGCGGGAGCAACAAUACCCACCUCACAGAGAGAAAGUAAUGAGUGGCUG